AGUGAACGCUGGCGGUAGGCCUAACACAUGCAAGUCGAACGGCAGCACAGUAAGAGCUUGCUCUUACGGGUGGCGGGAGGGGGACGUGUGAGGAAUGCAUCCGAAUCUAGUUUUUCGGGUGGGUUCACGUAGGUAGACCUACGAUAAUAUCGCAUACGCCGUACGGUUGAAGGCAGUGGAUCGUCUGACCGUGCGCGGAUGGACGCGCCGCUGUCGGACGAGCUAGUUGGCGGGGUAAAGGCCCAGCAAGGCGCCGAUCCGUAGCUGGUGUGAGAGGAUGGUCAGCCACACGGGAACUGAGACAGGGUCCAGACUCCUACGGGAGGCAGCAGUGGGGAAUAUGAGACAAUGGGCGCAAGCCUGAUCCAGUCAUACCGAGUGUGUGAAGAAGGCCUUCGGGUUGUAAAGCCCUUUUGUUGGGAGAGAAAAGCAGUAGGUUAAUACGCCGCUGUUCUGACGGUAAUCAAAGAAUAAGCACCGGCUAACUUCGUG
rnacentral:rRNA from 1 species